rnacentral:tRNA from 2 species
GCGGCUGUGGCGUAAUUGGUAGCCGCGCUAGACUUAGGAUCUAGUGGAGCAAUCCGUGGGGGUUCGAGUCCCUUCAGCCGCAC